rnacentral:tRNA from 1 species
UUUAUAAAAAGCAAAAUUUUGCAUUUAGCUACGGCCUAAAAUUAAGGGUUCUCCUUUUAUUUAA